GGUGGUCCAGCGGUAGGAUUUUUGCCUUCCACACAGAAGACCCAGGUUCAAUUCCUGGCC
rnacentral:tRNA from 1 species